AAGAAAAAAAGAAAACAGUGAGAGAAAAAGGUGUGCAUUUUUCUUCUAAAAAUUCAGAAAUUGGAAAUUGGGGUUUGAAGUUGAAACAGUUUCUCUUGUUGUUUCUUUUGUGUAUAAGAACCAACAGAGUCUCGGGAUGUUAAGGGGAAGGAAAAAAUAUGAUUAUUUUUCUUAUGUGCUUAUCGGCUAUGUUUUGAAGAUACCUGUAGACAUACAUGUGAUAGUACAGGGUUUUCUUUUGGAAUAAUUUUCAGUUGUAGAUUCUAUAAAUAUAGAAACCUUGUACAAGUGGGACCAAUGUGGUGUAAUAUGUAUUUCAUUGAUAUGAAAUAUAUACUAUAUGCAAUUAUGGAGUA